AACGUAGGACGCAAGCGUUAUCCGGAGUUACUGGGCGUAAAGGGCGGGCAGGCGGCUUGUCAAGUGGGAUGUCAAAGCGCACAGCUUAACUGAGCGAGGCCAUUCCAAACUGAUGAGCUGGAGGGCAGUAGAGGUAGGCGGAAUUCCGGGUGGAGUGGUGAAAUGCGUAGAUAUCCGGAAGAACACCUGAGGCGAAGGCGGCUUGCUGGGCCUGAUCUGACGCUGAGGCGCGAAAGCGUGGGGAGCAAACAGG
rnacentral:rRNA from 1 species